CCUACGGUGGGCAGCAGUGGGGAAUAUUGCACAAUGGGGGAAACCCUGAUGCAGCGACGCCGCGUGAGUGAAGAAGUAUUUCGGUAUGUAAAGCUCUAUCAGCAGGAACGAGACAAGACGGUACCUGACUAAGAAGCCCCGGCUAACUACGUGCCAGCAGCCGCGGUAAUACGUAGGGGGCAAGCGUUAUCCGGAAGCACUGGGUGUAAAGGGAGCGUAGACGGCUGUGCAAGCCUGAAGUGAAAGGCGGGGGCCCAACCCCUGGACUGCUUUGGGAACUGUACGGCUGGAGUGCAGGAGAGGUAAGUGGAAUUCCUAGUGUAGCGGUGAAAUGCGUAGAUAUUAGGAGGAACACCAGUGGCGAAGGCGGCUUACUGGACUGUAACUGACGUUGAGGCUCGAAAGCGUGGGGAGCAAACAGGAUUAGAUACCCGUGUAGUC
rnacentral:rRNA from 1 species